UUAUGGUCAUGUAAUAGCUAGUGGUGGACAUGAUAAAUGUUGAAAUGUAAUGUUUAGUACGGUAAUGUAAUGAGUAGUGUUAAACAAUUAUGUAAUGUAAUGGUGUUAUUAAGGAUAGAAUUGUGCUUGACCCUAGUAUGUUGUUAAUCCCUUUAUACAUGGUCUUUAAUAAUGUUUUAUCAUUGUUUUGUAAACCAAACUUAA
rnacentral:lncRNA from 1 species